GACGAACGCUGGCGGCGUGCCUAAUACAUGCAAGUUGAGCGAUGAAGAUUGGUGCUUGCACCAAUUUGAAGAGCAGCGAACGGGUGAGUAACGCGUGGGGAAUCUGCCUUUGAGCGGGGGACAACAUUUGGAAACGAAUGCUAAUACCGCAUAAUAACUUUAAACAUAAGUUUUAAGUUUGAAAGAUGCAAUUGCAUCACUCAAAGAUGAUCCCGCGUUGUAUUAGCUAGUUGGUGAGGUAAAGGCUCACCAAGGCGAUGAUACAUAGCCGACCUGAGAGGGUGAUCGGCCACAUUGGGACUGAGACACGGCCCAAACUCCUACGGGAGGCAGCAGUAGGGAAUCUUCGGCAAUAGACGAAAGUCUGACCGAGCAACGCCGCGUGAGUGAAGAAGGGUGUCGGAUCGUAAAACUCUGUUGGUAGAGAAGAACGUUGGUGAGAGUGGAAAGCUCAUCAAGUGACGGUAACUACCCAGAAAGGGACGGCUAACUACGUG
rnacentral:rRNA from 1 species